rnacentral:lncRNA from 1 species
CUUGAGAUGACAAGGCAGUACAAUGGCUAACCUUUGUUCCGGUUUCUAAUUUGGGUUAUGUUAAUUAGUUAUGGUAUGGUGUUCCUUUCAACCUAAUUUGAGAUUUUUUUUAGUCAAAGAAAUGUUAGGGCCGUAUGAAACAAAUUGAUGGGUUAGGCUCACUUUACGGGUUUAGGGCCCGUUUUGGUUUUGUGACGAAUUGAAUUAUUGUUUCGUUCCGUCUCAGUUUUAGUUGUGGAAUGUGUUGGUCACUUGUAGGCAGGAACUGGUAAGGUUUAAAGACUUUUGGAAUCUUCUUAUAGAGAAUGGCAUAAAUAUAUUAGAAACAGCUAAUUAUAGAAUUUAAACCC